rnacentral:rRNA from 1 species
AUUGGAGGGCAAGUCUGGUGCCAGCAGCCGCGGUAAUUCCAGCUCCAAUAGCGUAUAUUAAAGUUGUUGCGGUUAAAAAGCUCGUAGUUGGAGGUCAGUUCCGGACUGGGGUGGGAGGUCACCGCCCGGUGCUUCCCCGUCAGGCUCCGAACAGCUUCCGUGAGUGGAAGCCAAGCCGGUUCUGCCGGGGUGCUCUUUACCGAGUGUCCCGCGCGGCCGGCCAGUUCACCUUGAAUAAAUGAGAGUGCUCAAAGCAGGCUACUCUGGAAUACAAUGCCCGAAUGUUACCUGCAUGGAAUGAUGGAAGAUGAUCUCGGUUCCAUUUUGUUGGUGGUGGGAGCCAGAGGUAAUGAUAAAGAGGGACUGUCGGGGGCAUCCGUACUACGACGCGAGAGGUGAAAUUCAGUGACCGUCGUAGGACGAACAACAGCGAAAGCAUUUGCCAAGAAUGUCUUCGUUGAUCAAGAACGAAAGUUAGAGGAUCGAAGGCGAUCAGAUACCGCCCUAGUUCUAACCCUAAACGAUGCUGACUAGCAAUUCGCCGUCGUUAUUCCCAUGACGUGGCGAGACGCCCCCGGGAAACCUCAAGUCUUUGAGUUCCGGGGGUAGUAUGGUUGCAAAAGUGAAACUUAAAGGAAUUGACGGAAGGGCACCACCAGGAGUGGAGCCUGCGGCUUAAUUUGACUCAACACGGGAAAGCUCACCAGGCCCGGACACCAGAAGGAUUGACAGAUUAAGAGCUCUUACUCGAUUU